rnacentral:rRNA from 1 species
AUUGAACGCUGGCGGCAUGCUUUACACAUGCAAGUCGAACGGUAACAGGCCUUCGGGUGCUGACGAGUGGCGAACGGGUGAGUAAUGCAUCGGAACGUGCCCAAUCGUGGGGGAUAACGUAGCGAAAGUUACGCUAAUACCGCAUAAGCCCUGAGGGGGAAAGUGGGGGACCGCAAGGCCUCACGCGAAUGGAGCGGCCGAUGUCAGAUUAGCUAGUUGGUGGGGUAAAGGCCCACCAAGGCGACGAUCUGUAGCGGGUCUGAGAGGAUGAUCCGCCACACUGGAACUGAGACACGGUCCAGACUCCUACGGGAGGCAGCAGUGGGGAAUUUUGGACAAUGGGCGCAAGCCUGAUCCAGCCAUGCCGCGUGAGUGAAGAAGGCC